GAGGAUGUUUACCUUGGUCACAGGGGAUGGGCCAUUACCAUUGUGACGUCGGCGCCCAUGGGUACUCUCCCUUUUCGAAACGUUUUGAAAGACAAUGCAACCGUCCCAAUGGAAUAUUAUUGAAGCCCUGGUUGAAAAAGCCCCUAAAGAUUUAUGUUAUACAACGUUUGACAUGUUUGAACGAACUUAAAUAUAUUUCUUUUGCUCAUUCCUGACGACAAGUCAGACGCACACGGUACAUUUUUACUAGCCUUCGGAGCGCGCUAACACUAUUGGGACAUAAAUUAUUAACUUUUUUGAACAAAACUACAUUUGUUAUGGACCUGGGAAUUCCUAGAAGUGCCUUCUGAUAAAGAUAAUCUAAGAUGCUAUGCCGGAUUAACUCAUUGCAGAAUGUGUCCAUAAUCACGAAUGAAUAAGCAUAUUUACAGUGCCUUCAGUGUGCUCUGAGGAUGGAACAUGUGCUGUGGGGUUCAGUGUGGGUGGACAUGGUGGCUCAGUUGAUGACCAGGAUCUGAGCCCUAGGACCAUGCCUCAGGACUACCUGGCUCGAUGACUCCUUGCUGUCCCCAGUUCACCUGGCCGUGCUGCUGCUCCAGUUCCAACUGUUCUGCCUGCAGCUAUGGAACCCUGACCUAUUCACUGGACGUACUACCUGUCCCAGACCUGCUGUUUUCAACUCUCUAGAGACAGCAGGAGCGGUAGAGAUACUCUCAAAGAUCGGCUAUGAAAAAGCCAACUGACGCUUACUCUUGUGUUACUGACUUGUUGCACCCUCG
rnacentral:lncRNA from 1 species